rnacentral:rRNA from 1 species
GGCAGAUCCAUUUUCUGCCACCGAAUACAUUAGCAUGGGAUAAUGGAAUAGGACCCUGUCCUCCUAUUUUCAGUUGGUUUUGGCAGCGCGAGGACUAGGGUAAUGAUUAAUAGGGAUAGUUGGGGGCAUUAAUAUUUAAUUGUCAGAGGUGAAAUUCUUGGAUUUAUGAAAGAUUAACUUCUGCGAAAGCAUCUGCCAAGGAUGUUUUCAUUAAUCAAGAACGAAAGUUAGGGGAUCGAAGACGAUCAGAUACCGUCGUAGUCUUAACCAUAAACGAUGCCGACCAGCGAUUAGGAGACGUUGAAUACAAAACACCACCAUCGGUGCGGUCGUCCUUGGCGCGUUGGUCUUCAAAAGCCAGCGCGCGGGGGCGGCUUAGCCCGGUGGCACCGGUGAAUGACUCCCCUAGCAGCUUGUGAGAA